rnacentral:rRNA from 1 species
GAUGAACGCUGGCGGCGUGCCUAAUACAUGCAAGUCGAGCGAAUGGAUUAAGAGCUUGCUCUUAUGAAGUUAGCGGCGGACGGGUGAGUAACACGUGGGUAACCUGCCCAUAAGACUGGGAUAACUCCGGGAAACCGGGGCUAAUACCGGAUAACAUUUUGAACCGCAUGGUUCGAAAUUGAAAGGCGGCUUCGGCUGUCACUUAUGGAUGGACCCGCGUCGCAUUAGCUAGUUGGUGAGGUAACGGCUAACCCAGGCAACGAUGCGUAGCCGACCUGAGAGGGUGAUCGGCCACACGGGGACUGAGACACGGCCCAGACUCCUGCGGGAGGGAGCAGUAGGGAAUCUUCCGCAAUGGACGAAAGUCUGACGGAGCAACGCCGCGUGAGUGAUGAAGGCUUUCGGGUCGUAAAACUCUGUUGUUAGGGAAGAACAAGUGCUAGUUGAAUAAGCUGGCACCUUGACGGUACCUAACCAGAAAGCCACGGCUAACUACGUGCCAGCCGCCGCGGUAA